GACGAACGCUGGCGGCGUGCUUAACACAUGCAAGUCGAACGGAAAGGCCCUGCUUUUGUGGGGUGCUCGAGUGGCGAACGGGUGAGUAACACGUGAGUAACCUGCCCUUGACUUUGGGAUAACUUCAGGAAACUGGGGCUAAUACCGGAUAGGAGCUCCUGCGGCAUGGUGGGGGUUGGAAAGUUUCGGCGGUUGGGGAUGGACUCGCGGCUUAUCAGCUUGUUGGUGGGGUAGUGGCUUACCAAGGCUUUGACGGGUAGCCGGCCUGAGAGGGUGACCGGCCACAUUGGGACUGAGAUACGGCCCAGACUCCUACGGGAGGCAGCAGUGGGGAAUAUUGCAGAAUGGGCGGAAGCCUGAUGCAGCAACGCCGCGUGCGGGAUGACGGCCUUCGGGUUGUAAACCGCUUUCGCCUGUGACGAAGCGUGAGUGACGGUAAUGGGUAAAGAAGCACCGGCUAACUACGUG
rnacentral:rRNA from 1 species